UUACGGUCAUAUCACUUUGGAACACCGGUUCCUGUACAAUCAUAAACGUUAAGCAACGUCGAGCCUGGUUAGUAACUUGACGGGUGACCUCUUCGGAAUUCCAGAUGCUGUAAG